rnacentral:tRNA from 1 species
GCCUGGGUGGCUCAGUUGGUUGAGCGUCUGACUUCAGCUCAGGUCAUGAUCUCACGGUUAGUGGGUUUGAGCCCUGCAUCAGGCU